ACUCAACCUAAUGAUGUUCUGGGAGAAGGUUGUUCAUCUCUUCUUUGUUGUUGAAGUCGGGGGCCCUCCUGGUCCAGAGGAGGAGGCCGGCCUCUAGCAACUGACAUCUUCCCAAUCCUCUGGUUAGUCCAGCCAGAGGUGGGGAUUGGGAUCCCACCGUGGAGCCUUCCUGGUUCUCCUGGGGCCUUCUCCAAGUCCACCAUCUGACUCUCCUGGACCUGUGUUAUGGAGAGUAUCUCCCCACACUAAAACACAAGCUACAUGAAGAUCCUUUCGAGGACCCUUGAACCCUGAUUAUAGAGGCAGAACUGUGGUCUGAGGAUGCGGUGUUGAGGGUGAGGCAGAAGAGCACAGGUGAGGGCAAAGGUCACAGCAACUGAUGUGAUAACUACAAUCUCAACUAGGAAUCACUAUCCUCAGCACCCUUGGGGCUUCCCAGAGCUCAUCACCAUCAUCACCAACACAAUAUCAUGAAUAACACUUAUCAAGCAUUUGGUCUGUGUCAGGCACACAUUUAAAAAAACCCUAUAGUGUAAGUGGGAUGAGCGCCUGUGCUAAGUUGCUUCAGUCGUGUCUGACUCUGCAACUCUGUGGACUUUGGCCCGCCAGGCUCCUCUGUCAAUGG